rnacentral:lncRNA from 1 species
AGUGUUUAAGUGUUUAUGAGACUAAAGAGAAUGAGAUUAAGAGACUGAGAGACUAAGAGAAUAAGUGUUUAGAGAUUAGAGUUUCAGAUUCAAGAACUAGUUUUUCAUUUCCAUGAAGGAGAGGGGAAAUCCCCCUAACUCUCUUAAGAGUUACAAUUUCGUCCAUACAUCUGUUUAUAUAGGCUGUUACAAUCUGAGACAUCAUAAACCUAUAUCUAAUGGCUGUAAAUCACUUAAGAGGAAUGGAUGGUGUAGAUGAGCUGGUCUUGUUGCAAUCUGAGUAGUUGAUGCUGAUUGGUUAAGAGGAGAUGGAGUCUGAUUGGUUUAAUUCAAAAUGGGGAAGGCUGAACUGUGAUUGGCUCUCCUUAGGCUCCUCCUAAUCUAUCCAGAGAUCAGUCCAGGUACAUGGUCGUGGCUCCCCUUGUCUUUACAGCCAAGGCCAGCCUGUCCCAAGACCAAACUAGCCAAUCACACUCCAAUGGCAUCUUCUUGAUUCUCCUUUGAUGCCAUCUGAUCAGAACCUUAUCCACAAGACUGGGACCACUUUUAUAACUCCUAAACCUUGCCCAGACAUUGCACAACCUUCCCGGGACGUCAGGUUCGCCCUAUUUUUGCACCAACUCCAAAACUUCUCAAAUGGCCGAGUUAUGCAAAUCUGGGUCGCCCUGGUCCGUACGGAUCCGUACUGUCCGUACAUGUCCGAACUGCCUCGCCCUAUCUUUGCACACUCGCCCAUUUGCUCCCAAAUACACUUCUAAGUCUCUCCUAGACUUGACCCUAACUUUGCACAUCCAUCAGGACACUUCUGGACACCUUGCCCUAUCUUUUGCACAAGCCCCAACUCAACUCAACACUUUUAGUUUCUCCAUUUCUUCUCUUCAAGUUAACACUCCCCCUCAAGCUUGACUUUAGUUGAUCCUAUGUCAAGCUUGGAACCUUGAAGAACUUCCUCAUUAAAAACCUCACCAAGGAAAACCCUUUGGGACAAAACCUUGAUGAGGGAAAAAGAGUAAAGUCUCCAAGGCCUAGGGAUUGGCCAGUGAGUCUUUGUGCCUUACCAACAAUGUAAGGGACAUAAAGACUCUGGAUCAUGGCCUCUUCAUUCUCCCCACGCCUUGUACUCUCCUUACAGCCUGAUCUUGGUUAAAGACUCUGGAUCAUGGCCUCUUCAUUCUCCCCACGCCUUGUACUCUCCUUACAGCCUGAUCUUGGUCUCUCCCCCUUUCACAUAACCUCUUGUUAGGUUAAAGUGCUCGGACACACCAGAUCAGCCUCUUCUUGGAGAUACAACACUCUUGCUGAGUCUUGGCUGCUUCUUCUUCUUCUAGAGUCGCCACCUUGUUUCUGGAACUACAUGAGGAUGCUUCAGCCACUCUCCAAUCACCUCAACACUUGAAGCCGCCUUGGACAUUGCUUCUUCAUCCUUCAUCAUACUUCCCAACAGGUUGCUUACUCUUCUAGAAUAACCACCAAGCUCAUUCUGAUCAUGUAAGAUUCAACACUUCUUAGCCUCUUCAUGUAGCCGGUUUGAUUGUCCCCCUCUCAACUGACUUCUCAGCCAUCUUAGAAAGGCUAGGAUGCGGCCGGUUCAUCUUUAAAACACCAGUGAGGCUGAGCAAUACUUCAAACUAGGCUUGCCCUCUUCAUAGACCUGAUUGGAGUCUCCCCCUCUCAACAGACUUUACAGCCACUUUAGAGAAGCUAGGAAACAACCAGGAACAUCUUCAGUGAGGCUCAAGCAAUGGUACUUGAUACAUUAUCCCAAAGGUGCAUCAGUACUUAUCAAGACACAUCACACAAUCCAUUCAAACAUUUUAAGUAUCAUUUCUAGACUUUGAUUUGAAAUGAUGAAUGUAUUGAAUUGAAUUGAGCUUAGAACACUUCCCUUUUGUUUUGAUGAGUUCCCACUCGGCCAUUGCACCAUCUCCAUGGCACCAUCAACUUCUUGGAAAAAGGCAGAAUGGAUUCAUCAGCUUCUCAUCAAUCACUUCACCAUAGAAGCCGCUUUGAUGAGUUCUCCUUCACCCUUAGACUGCCUAGAAUAGCUCCGACUGAUGAUCCUUUGUAGGAGCCUUUGCAAAUACUUGUUACUGACCAUGGAUCAUAUGCAUUAAGACUCCCCCUCAAGCUUAGAACCGAGACUAGAAGGAGCUAAGCUUGUGAUGAUCAUAUGCAUCCCCAUGGUCUUAUAACUAUCAGUCUUUCAUGAUAGCUUUCUUCUUGUGAGUCUACUCUCUUCCUUAACCAGGAAUUAGGGUGUUUGAAUCACCAUAGAGAGCCUCACAAGACACACUUCUCAUUGCAUAAUGACCCAUGCUACACUUCCUGUAGACUUUGGACUGAAUAUGUCCAAUGGUAUUAUGCAAUGGCCAUCUCUCAUUGCAUUAUCAAUCACACUACACUUCCUGUAGAUUAUGGACUAACAUGUCCUAGUGAUGAUAUGCAAUGACACAAAACCUUUGUCUCUACAUUCUUGGUUGUUGGCGAGUUACAUGUAUCACACUCCUUGUGUACCUAACACCACCACAACUCAAUGCAAGAUCAGAUCAUCCCAUUGGGAUCAAACCAAGAUCAUCCAUCCUGUUUGAUCACCAAUGCCACAAUAAUAUAUAAUACUUGAAACAAGCCAGACAAUCAAGGCAAGAACAAGCAGAUUCCAAUCUCUAAAAAUAAUAAUGCAAGCUCUAAAUAAUACAUUGACAUCCUAGGUUUAUAUAUAUAUAUAUAUAUUUUUUUUUUAAGUUCUCUAAAUGCAAUGCAAGCUUACAUCAGUACAUUUGCAAUUUAGGCUCAUUUUUAAAUGCAUCACUACAGGAAUGCACAAUCUUAAAGCAUUAGCUACAUGAAUGCAACAGGUUCAAUCCAUGAGCAAUAUUAAAGCUAUGCACGACAGUUUCAAUCAAAACCAAUGAUGCAAGCAACUUAGACAAUUUCUAAUUGAUGCAAGACUUUCAUUGAUGGAUUAAACAUAGGCAUUAGCAUCAGACCACAAUAGGAUUGAACUUAGACAGAAUGAGACAUGCUUAUGUAUGCAAAACAGCUUUUCAAACAUGAUGCAAGCAGUAGAGACAUUCUACUCAAUUCUACAACACAUUCAUGAUGAUUCAAGCUAUGGCAACACACAAGACAAUGCAAUAAACAAAACAUUUUCAGUGCAAUUAGCUUAGACAUUCUACUAGAAGCUAUAAACUAUUAAUGGAACUUUCGACAGGGAAAUCACAGAGCAUAAUCAAGAGAUAGACCUAUCAAGACAUAUUAAAAUAGAUGAGACUAGGUUUACUCCCUUGUUUAAGAUGCUGAGGAGUGGUCCUUAGUGUCGCCACUUUAAUCCUCACUUCUUCUUCUCCUCUCAUUGCAAUCACCCUUCUGAAUUUGCCACCAUGAUGGAAUGCUUAUGGAAUUUUCAGCUACUUCUUCAAUCACCUCACACUAGAAGCCGCCUUGAUAGAGUAGCCUUCUUCUUCACACAGCCAAGAGUGCUCUGUCUUAGUUUGAGCACUCUCUUGAAUAAGCACGCCACUGCCUAGACCCGGUUGGCUUCUUCUUCAAUUACUUGCAAUGGUAAGGAGAGGAACAACAGUGAGCUUCAGUGAGUUUUACAACCAUAUGCGCUUCACCCUUCUUGUAACAACUCUCCAUUGCACACACAAUGGGCACCAUUCAUUCUCUUUCAACUCGGAUUUGAUGAUGAACUAGGAACACCUUUUGUGAACCUGAAACAUCACUCAAACUCCAGCAAGGAUAAGACACAAUUGCAUUGGGAUCAAUCCUUGACUUUAUCAAGUUUGAUCACCAAUGUCUCAGGCUUUAUUACACUAGACAGAAUCAAGAAAAUGUCAAGUUCUUAUCUAUGCAAGCAGCCUUUCUCUAAAUACUAAGCAAGACCUUAUCAGAUUCAAGCCAAAGUAUUUAGACAAUUUUAACAACUCCUUAAUAUUCAACUUAGACUUUAAUCUAAAUGCAAUAAUACAAGGCAGCAACAAGACAGUAUGCAUUAACUUUAAUCAGUUUCUAACUCAUGAAAGCAAGCAUGAUUGGAUAAUAUAAACUAUCAUCUUAACAAGGCAAUUCAAUUUAGAACUGGCAUUAAGCAUUUUAAACAUUUUCAAUUGUAUUGAUAUCAAUCCUUGAUUGAUAAAUCAUCAAGUUUGAUUCCCAUUAUCACAAGCAAUGCAACAGAUAGACACAAGGCAUUAUCAAGUUCUAAUCUUUGCAAGCAAACUCUCUAAGCACAAGCAUGAUCAUAACAGAUUCAAUACAAGCUACCUAGGCAAUUUUAAAGCUUCUUUACUCAGCAAUUUAGACAUGAAUCUAAUGCUUCAAUGUAAGACAGCCUCAAGAUGAUAACAUGCAUUAAUCUUUAUCAGUCCCUAACACAUGAAUGCAACCAGUUUUGACAGUACCAUUUAGCAUAUUAAUACACAUUCAUUUAGAGCUGGGAUUAAGCAAUAAUAUUAUCAACCAACAUCAGACACAAUGCAUAACCUUAGGUGAUUUCAUUUCAUGAAAGCAAUCAGGUUUAGACAACUUCUAACUUCCUAACAAGCCUCACUAGAAUCAGGGUUAAUCAUUUUUAAUUUAUUCAACCACCAAACAAGACUUUUUAAGCAUUUUGGACAGAUUCUAAAAUUCAUUUCAUUUCAUUUAGCAAUCUUUAAACAAUCCUCAGGUUUUCAAUCACAUCAGAACAUCACAACCAGUCAAUAUACUCAAGCUUUAUACAAGAGAAAGAGGUUUCUUACAGCCAAGGAACUAGUGUUAGUUCCUUGAAACUCCAUAGAUCAUGGCAAGACAGUGAGCUGUUGGUGUCAACUCCAACUUCUCCUUCUCCCAUGGACCUUUCUCUUGCACUCUCCAUGUCAAAGACCACACCUUUCUUCAUGUUGAAUUCGCCACACCAGUACCAGCUGAAAGCUGUCACCUUUCUUCUUGGACAGUGAAUAAGAACCCUUUGCUUCCAAGGUUCUUUCUUCUUCAUGGGCUUCAUGAGAGAGUGUAGAUCAGCCAGAGACAGCUUCUGGACACCAUGGAUGAGCAUACCUUCUUCUUGAAGAGUUGAACAGCCGGCUGGACCAUGGAGCUUCUUCUUGGCUUCAAGCGACAUGGAGGAGAGGUAUGAGCUUCAGGGGAAGCAAGAACCAAGUUCAGUUGAACCUGGCUCUGAUACCAUGUGAUUUUUAAAGAGAUCUCUACUCUGGUUGUAUGUGUGUGUGUGUAACUCCAAUGGAGAAGGAUAAGAGCUUGUUUUAGGUGAUUUGAGAACAGAGAUUGAUGAGAGUGUUUAAGUGUUUAUGAGACUAAAGAGAAUGAGAUUAAGAGACUGAGAGACUAAGAGAAUAAGUGUUUAGAGAUUAGAGUUUUAGAUUCAAGAACUAGUUUUUCAUUUCCAUGAAGGAGAAGGGAAAUCCCCCUAACUCUCUUAAGAGUUACAAUUUCGUCCAUACAUCUGUUUAUAUAGGCUGUUACAAUCUGAGACAUCAUAAACCUAUAUCUUGUUAACUUGAAGAGAAGAAGUGGAGAAGCAAAAGUGAUGAGUUGAGUUGGUGCUUGUGCAAAGACAUGGCAAGAUCUUCAGAGAUUGUAUGUUAAGGCUUUGGGAGAGUCUUAAGGCUUCAGAAGUGGUCUGAUGAGUGUGCAAAGAUAGGGUUAAGUCCAGGAGGGACUUAGACACCAUUUGGAGAAGAUUUGGGUCAGACAGUAACUCCAAAGUUACCACAGUAACUUUGGAAAGUUACCACAGUAAGAUUGGAGAAGUUUGGGCAAGUUGGUGUAAAAGUGAAUAGUGAAUCACUAGUCACUAUUCAGGUUGACUAUUCACUAUUUGGGUCACUAUUCAGGAUGUGAAGAGUGUGCAUAGUAUAUGGAUAAGGCACCAAGGUUUGAAUCUAGUCAAAGGGAAUCAAGAAGAUGCUUUGUGGAGGCAAACAACCAAUGGGAGCUUCCUUGUGUGUGAUUGGCUAGUUCUGGUCUUGGACAGGCUGUCUCUUGCUGUAAAGAGAAGGGAGCCACGACCAUGAACCUGGACAGAUGCAUGGAAAGAUUAGUAGGAGCCUAAGGAGAGCCAAUCACAAGCAAGGAGCCAGCUUGCCUUGGUUUGAAUUAAAGUGAGCCAGCUUAGCUUAUCCAAUCAGCACACAUCACUCAGAUUACAACAAGACCAACUCAUCCUCACCAUCCAUUCCUCUUAAGUUAUUUCUAUCCAUUAGAUAUAGGUUUAUGAGUUUGCAAGAGUGUAAAACCUAUAUAAAGAGCCUCAUGGGCGUGUGUAACUCUCUUAAGUGAGUAUGGGGGUUUUCCCCAUCUCCUUCAUAAAUAUAAAAGUGUGUUCUUGAUCAGAUUCUCUUAAUCUACCCCUUUCUUAGUCUCUAAUCUCUUAAUCUCUCUAAGUCUCUUUGUUUCUGAUUCAAGUUCAUACUAGUUUCAUCAGACCUCUUAUUCAACUAGUUCAAGACCUUAUUCUUUGCCUCUAAUGGCUUCUCAUACACAUACACAGCCAGAGCUCUCAAAUCUCAUAUGGUAUCAGAGCCAGGUUCAUCAGAACCUGAGCUGAGCUUCCGCAAAUCCACAGCUCUCAUCUCAGCUCAAACCAAACCCUUGAAGUCAUAUCCAUCCGAGUUCAGCUCUUGAAGAAGAAGAGACUUGAAGCCAUGGAGUGUUAUCCUGUCCCUCAAGCCGUUGCUGUCUGUACCUGAUGGAGAGAGUCUCAUUGGAAGCAAAGGAGGAUGGAGAGGCGUCAUGAACCUCAAGCCAAAACUCCUUGUCCAAGAGCUUGUUACAUCCUGCUACAAGAAAGAUGAAGUGAAGAGAAGCAGGCUUGAUAGUAUGGAGCAAGGAGGGGUCUUUGGGUGUGAGAAACAAGAAGGAGGCCAUGGACUGAAGGAGAAGGAGUUGGGUGACGACCUAGACUCUUGAAUCCAACCAUAUCAUGGCCAGAUUGCCUUUGGAGGCUUAAGGAACCAACCUGGUUCCUUGUGUAAGUGAUUCUUUAAAACCUUCUUGAUAUUGAGCUUGUGGUGUGACUGUGCCUGGUUAUUGUGAUGUGUAUUGAUUGAAAAACCUGAGGAUAAUGUGUGAUUGCUAAAUAUAAUUAGUUGAAUCUGUCCCAGGAUGCUUUAAAGGCUUGUUUAGUGUUUAAAGAGUAAAAUGCUUGCUCCUGUUAAGUAAUGAGUUUGCUAAAUGUGAAAUGGUAUUGUUUGAAACUCAUGAACUGAAAACAGAUUGAAAGUAAUGCAUUGUCUGAUGUUAAGUGAUGAUAGUAAUGCUUAGCCUAAGUUAUAAAUGAAUGUGUGAUGAAUUGUAUUGUUGCAUUCAUGAAUUAAAACUGAUUAAGGUUAGUGCAUACUGUCAAAUGGCUGUCUUACAUUGAAGCAUUAGAUUCAUGUCUAAAUGCUGAGAAAAGAAGCUUUAAAAAUUGCCUAAGUAGCUUGUAUUGAAUCUGUUAGGAUCAUGCUAGUGCUUAGAGAGUUUGCUUGCAAAGAUUAGAACUUGAAAAUGUCUAGUUUAAUCUGUUGCAUUGCUUAAAGACAUUGGUGUUCAAACUUGAUGAUGCAUCAAGGGUUGACCCAAUGCACUUGUGUCUUAUCUUUGCUGGAGUUUGAGUGAUGUUUCAGGUUCACAAGAGGUGUUCUUGGUUCACCAUCCAUCCGAGUUGAAAGAGGAAGACUUUGCCCAUUGUGUGGAGCAAUGGAGAGUUGAGAAAGAAGUGGUGAUGCACCACUGGUGUGAAGUCUCACUGAAGCUCACUUGCAAGCUUGGACUUAUACCCAAUCCAAGCUUGAGGAGGGGAGUUUAAUCACUGAAGCUCACUUGCAAGCUUGGACCUAUGCUCAAGCCAAGCUUGAGGAGGGGAGUUUAGUGAGCUUCCAACCGAUCCAAGAAGUCCAUUGCAACCAUCUGAAGAAGGAGCCAUCCGGGCUUAGGCUGUGGCGAGUCUAUUCAAGAGAGUACUCAAACUAAGACAGAGUACUCUUGGCUGUGAGAAGAUGAAGGCAACUCUAUCAAGGCGGCUUCUAGUGUGAAGUGAUUGGAGAGAUAGCUGAAGCUUCCACAAGCAUUCCAUGAAGAUGGCAAGAUCAGAAGAGAAGCGGCAAUGGUGUGUGUGUGAGGAUCAUGAAGCAAUCCAUUCAAGCUUGUUCCUGUGAGAGUCUCAAGCUUGAGGGGGAGUGUUGAAGCUUACAUGAUCCAAGAGAGCUUGGUGGUUAUUCUAGAAGAGGAAGCAACCUGUUGAGAAGUAUGAUGAAGGAUGAAGAAGCAAUGUCCAAGGCGGCGUCAAGUGUUGAGGUGAUUGGAGAGUGGCUGAAGCAUCCUCAUGUAGCUCAAGCAACAAGGUGGCGACUCUAGAAGAAGAAGAAGCAGCCAAGACUCAGUAAGAGAAGUUGUAUCUCCAAGAAGAGGCUGAUCUGGUGUGUCCGAGCACUUCAACCUAACAAGAGGUUAGGUGAAAGGGGGAGAGACCAAGAUUAGACAGUAAGGAGAGUACAAGGCGUGGGAUGAUUGUAGAGGCCAUGAUCUAGAGUCUUUGUGUCCCUUACAUUGUUGGUAAGGCACAAAGACUCACUGGCCAAUCCCUAGGCCUUGGAGACUUUACUCUUUUUCCCUCAUCAAGGUUUUGUCCCAAAGGGUUUUCCUUGGUGAGGUUUUUAAUGAGGAAGUUCUUCAAGGUUCCAAGCUUGACUUAGGAUCAACUAGAGUCAAGCUUGAGGGGGAGUGUUAACUUGAAGAGAAGAAGUGGAGAAGCAAAAGUGAUGAGUUGAGUUGGUGCUUGUGCAAAGACAUGGCAAGAUCUUCAGAGAUUGUAUGUUAAGGCUUUGGGAGAGUCUUAAGGCUUCAGAAGUGGUUUGAUGAGUGUGCAAAGAUAGGGUUAAGUCCAGGAGGGACUUAGACACCAUUUAGAGAAGAUUUGGAUCAGACAGUAACUCCAAAGUUACCACAGUAACUUUGGAGAGUUACCACAGUAAGAUUGGAGAAGUUUGGGCAAGUUGGUGUAAAAGUGAAUAGUGAAUCACUAGUCACUAUUCAGGUUGACUAUUCACUAUUUGGAUCACUAUUCAGGAUGUGAGGCACCAAGGUUUGAAUCUAGUCAAAGGGAAUCAAGAAGAUGCUGUGUGGAGCUGAUUGGUUACUUUGGAGCAUGGACAGGCUGGCUGUUGCUGUAAAGGAAGAGCAGCCACGACCAUGCACCUAGACUGAUCUGUAGACAGAUACAAAGGAGCCUAAGGAGAGCCAAUCACAGCACAGCCUUGGUUUGAAUUAAAGUGAGCCAGCUUAGCUUAUCCAAUCAGCACACAUCACUCAGAUUACAACAAGACCAACUCAUCCUCACCAUCCAUUCCCCUUAAGUUAUUUCUAUCCAUUAGAUAUAGGUUUAUGAGUUUGCAAGAGUGUAAAACCUAUAUAAAGACCCUCAUGGGCGUUUGUAACUCUCUUAAGAGAGUAUGGGGGAUUUCCCCAACUCCUUCAUAAAUAUAAAAGUGUGUUCUUGAUCAGAUUCCCUUAAUCUACCCCUUUCUUAGUCUCUAAUCUCUUAAUCUCUCUAAGUCUCUUUGUUUCUGAUUCAAGUUGAUACUAGUUUCAUCAGACCUCUUAUUCAACUAGUUCAAGACCUUAUUCUCUGCCUCUAAUGGCUUCUCAUACACAUACACAGCCAGAGUUCUCAAAUCUCAUAUGGUAUCAGAGCCAGGUUCAUCAGAACCUGAGCUGAGCUUCCGCAAAUCCACAGCUCUCAUCUCAGCUCAAACCAAACCCUUGAAGUCAUAUCCAUCCGAGUUCAGCUCUUGAAGAAGAAGAGACUUGAAGCCAUGGAGUGUUAUCCUGUCCCUCAAGCCGUUGCUGUGUGUACCUGAUGGAGAGAGUCUCAUUGGAAGCAAAGGAGGAUGGAGAGGCGUCAUGAACCUCAAGCCAAAACUCCUUGUCCAAGAGCUUGUUACAUCCUGCUACAAGAAAGAUGAAGUGAAGAGAAGCAGGCUUGAUAGUAUGGAGCAAGGAGGGGUCUUUGGAUGUGAGAAACAAGAAGGAGGCCAUGGACUGAAGGAGAAGGAGUUGGGUGACGACCUAGACUCUUGAAUCCAACCAUAUCAUGGCCAGAUUGCCUUUGGAGGUUUAAGGAACCAACCUGGUUCCUUGUGUAAGCGAUUCUUAAAACCUUCUUGAUAAUGAGCUUGUGUUGUGUUAUUGCCUGGUUAGUGUGAUGUGUAUUGAUUGAAAAACCCUGAGGAUAAUGUGUGAUUGCUAAAUAUAAUUAGUUGAAUCUGUCCCAGGAUGCUUUAAAGGCUUGUUUAGUGUUUAAAGAGUAAAAUGCUUGCUCCUGUUAAGUAAUGAGUUUGCUAAAUGUGAAAUGAUAUUGUUUGAAGCUCAUGAACUGAAAACAGAUUGAAAGUAAUGCAUUGUCUGAUGAUAAGUGAUGAUAGUAAUGCUUAGCCUAAGUUAUAAAUGAAUGUGUGAUGAAUUGUAUUGUUGCAUUCAUGAAUUAAAACUGAUUAAGGUUAGUGCAUACUGUCAAAUGGCUGUCUUACAUUGAAGCAUUAGAUUCAUGUCUAAAUGCUGAGAAAAGAAGCUUUAAAAAUUGCCUAAGUAGCUUGUAUUGAAUCUGUUAGGAUCAUGCUAGUGCUUAGAGAGUUUGCUUGCAAAGAUUAGAACUUGAAAAUGUCUAGUUUAAUCUGUUGCAUUGCUUAAAGACAUUGGUGUUCAAACUUGAUGAUGCAUCAAGGGUUGACCCAAUGCACUUGUGUCUUAUCUUUGCUGGAGUUUGAGUGAUGUUUCAGGUUCACAAGAGGUGUUCUUGGUUCACCAUCCAUCCGAGUUGAAAGAGGAAGACUUUGCCCAUUGUGUGGAGCAAUGGAGAGUUGAGAAAGAAGUGGUGAUGCACCACUGGUGUGAAGUCUCACUGAAGCUCACUUGCAAGCUUGGACCUAUACUCAAUCCAAGCUUGAGGAGGGGAGUUUAGUGAGCUUCCAACCGAUCCAAGAAGUCCAUUGCAACCAUCUGAAGAAGGAGCCAUCCGGGCUUAGGCUGUGGCGAGUCUAUUCAAGAGAGUACUCAAACUAAGACAGAGUACUCUUGGCUGUGAGAAGAUGAAGGCAACUCUAUCAAGGCGGCUUCUAGUGUGAAGUGAUUGGAGAGAUAGCUGAAGCUUCCACAAGCAUUCCAUGAAGAUGGCAAGAUCAGAAGAGAAGCGGCAAUGGUGUGUGUGUGAGGAUCAUGAAGCAAUCCAUUCAAGCUUGUUCCUGUGAGAGUCUCAAGCUUGAGGGGGAGUGUUGAAGCUUACAUGAUCCAAGAGAGCUUGGUGGUUAUUCUAGAAGAGGAAGCAACCUGUUGAGAAGUAUGAUGAAGGAUGAAGAAGCAAUGUCCAAGGCGGCGUCAAGUGUUGAGGUGAUUGGAGAGUGGCUGAAGCAUCCUCAUGUAGCUCAAGCAACAAGGUGGCGACUCUAGAAGAAGAAGAAGCAGCCAAGACUCAGUAAGAGAAGUUGUAUCUCCAAGAAGAGGCUGAUCUGGUGUGUCCGAGCACUUCAACCUAACAAGAGGUUAGGUGAAAGGGGGAGAGACCAAGAUUAGACAGUAAGGAGAGUACAAGGCGUGGGAUGAUUGUAGAGGCCAUGAUCUAGAGUCUUUGUGUCCCUUACAUUGUUGGUAAGGCACAAAGACUCACUGGCCAAUCCCUAGGCCUUGGAGACUUUACUCUUUUUCCCUCAUCAAGGUUUUGUCCCAAAGGGUUUUCCUUGGUGAGGUUUUUAAUGAGGAAGUUCUUCAAGGUUCCAAGCUUGAC